GACGAACGCUGGCGGCGUGCUUAACACAUGCAAGUCGAACGGAAAGGCCCUGCUUUUGUGGGGUGCUCGAGUGGCGAACGGGUGAGUAACACGUGAGUAACCUGCCCUUGACUUUGGGAUAUCUUCAGGAAACUGGGGCUAACACCGGAUAGGAGCUCCUGCUGCAUGGUGGGGGUUGGAAAGUUUCGGCGGUUGGGGAUGGACUCGCGGCUUAUCAGCUUGUUGGUGGGGUAGUGGCUUACCAAGGCUUUGACGGGUAGCCGGCCUGAGAGGGUGACCGGCCACAUUGGGACUGGGAUGCGGCCCAGACUCCUACGGUAGGCAACAGUGGAGAAGAGUACACAAUGGGCGGAAGCCUGAUGCAGCAACGCCGCGUGCGGGAUGACGUCCAUCGGGUUGUAAACCGCAGUCGCCUGUUACGAAGCGUGAGUGACGGUAAUGGGUAAAGAAGCACCGGCUAACUACGUG
rnacentral:rRNA from 1 species